rnacentral:rRNA from 1 species
UGCAAGUGGUAGGAAGCCGAAGGUGACGACCCUUCGGGAGCUUGCACAGGUGCUGCAUGGCUGUCGUCAGCUCGUGUCGUGAGAUGUUCGGUUAAGUCCGCUAACGAGCGCAACCCUCGCUGUGUGUUAUAUGUGUCACACGGGACUGCCGGUCUUAAGCCGGAGGAAGGUGGGGAUGAUGUCAAGUCAGCAUGGCCUUUAUAUCCUGGGCUACACACACGCUACAAUGGCCAACACAAUAGGUUGCUAAGCCGCGAGGUGGCGCCAAUCCAUAAAGUUGGUCUCAGUUCAGAUUGUAGGCUGCAACCCGCCUGCAUGAAGGCGGAAUCGCUAGUAAUCGCAGGUCAGCAUACUCGCGGUCCGAAUACGUUCCCGGGCCUU